rnacentral:rRNA from 1 species
AUGCAUGUGCACGGUGCCAACGUGCUAGCCGACGCGCUCUGUUCCUCGCAUGCUCGCUUCCCCGGCUGCCGCACCUUGCCAAACCUCGCCUCCAUCACCGUCUCGACGCCCUUAACUCCCUCCUGGCGCUCGCCGACGCCGGAGCUCGCCGCAGCGAGCACGGGCGCGGCCCGGCCAACUGAACAGUGCGCCGCGCACUGUGUUCGUCGCCACCCCACCGUUCAUGUGCUCGUCUCCACCCUCUCACAGUCCCCGCGUGAGCUGCGUCGCCUUCUCCCCCUCUCACUGACGCCGUUCAUCGCCGGGCGCCGUGUGAUACGUCUCCAUCGUAUCUACUUUUCCAAACACUUUUGCCCUUGUUUUGGACUCUAA